CCAAGGCGACGAUCCGUAACUGGUCUGAGAGGAUGAUCAGUCACACUGGAACUGAGACACGGUCCAGACUCCUACGGGAGGCAGCAGUGGGGAAUAUUGGACAAUGGGCGAAAGCCUGAUCCAGCCAUGCCGCGUGUGUGAAGAAGGUCUUCGGAUUGUAAAGCACUUUAAGUUGGGAGGAAGGGCCAUUACCUAAUACGUGAUGGUUUUGACGUUACCGACAGAAUAAGCACCGGCUAACUCUGUGCCAGCAGCCGCGGUAAUACAGAGGGUGCAAGCGUUAAUCGGAAUUACUGGGCGUAAAGCGCGCGUAGGUGGUUUGUUAAGUUGGAUGUGAAAUCCCCGGGCUCAACCUGGGAACUGCAUUCAAAACUGACUGACUAGAGUAUGGUAGAGGGUGGUGGAAUUUCCUGUGUAGCGGUGAAAUGCGUAGAUAUAGGAAGGAACACC
rnacentral:rRNA from 1 species